rnacentral:rRNA from 1 species
UGGGGAAUUUUGGACAAUGGGCGCAAGCCUGAUCCAGCAAUGCCGCGUGCAGGAUGAAGGCCUUCGGGUUGUAAACUGCUUUUGUACAGAACGAAAAGUCUUGGGUUAAUACCCUGGGACCAUGACGGUACUGUAAGAAUAAGCAUCGGCUAACUCCGUGCCAGCAGCCGCGGUAAGACGGAGGAUGCAAGUGUUAUCCGGAAUCACUGGGCGUAAAGCGUCUGUAGGUGGUUUGUUAAGUCAACUGUUAAAUCUUGAGGCUCAACUUCAAGUCAGCAGUCGAAACUAUCAGACUAGAGUAUAGUAGGGGUAAAGGGAAUUUCCAGUGGAGCGGUGAAAUGCGUAGAUAUUGGAAAGAACACCGAUGGCGAAGGCACUUUACUGGGCUAUUACUAACACUCAGAGACGAAAGCUAGGGUAGCAAAUGGGAUUAGAUACCCCAGUAGUCCUAGCUGUAAACAAUGGAUACUAGAUGUUGAACAGAUCGACCUGUGCAGUAUUAAAGCUAACGCGUUAAGUAUCCCGCCUGGGAAGUAUGCUCGCAAGAGUG